rnacentral:misc_RNA from 1 species
GAUGAAGAACGUAGCGAAAUGCGAUAAGUAGUGUGAAUUGCAGAAUUCAGUGAAUCAUCGAAUCUUUGAACGCACAUUGCGCCCCUCGGUAUUCCGUGGGGCAUGCCUGUUCGAGCGUCAUUUAACCCCUCAAGCCUAGCUUGGUAUUGGGUGCUUGUCCCGCCUCUCGCGCGGCGACUCACCUCAAAGUCAUUGGCAGCCCGCAUCUCGCCGGCCGUGAGCGCAGCACAGACGCGCUCUUGGCAACGACGGAUCGGCUCUCCAAAAGCUUAUUUCAACCACUGAUCUCGGAUCAGGUAGGGAUACCCGCUGAACUUAAGCAUAUCAAUAAGCGGAGGA